rnacentral:rRNA from 1 species
UACGUAGGCAGCGAGCGUUGUUCGGAGUUACUGGGCGUAAAGGGUGUGUAGGCGGUUGUUUAAGUUUGGUGUGAAAUCUCCCGGCUCAACUGGGAGGGUGCGCCGAAUACUGAAUGACUAGAGUGCGGGAGAGGAAAGUGGAAUUCCUGGUGUAGCGGUGAAAUGCGUAGAUAUCAGGAGGAACACCGGUGGUGUAGACGGCUUUCUGGACCGUAACUGACGCUGAGACACGAAAGCGUGGGUAGCAAACGGG